UACGUAGGGGGCGAGCGUUGUUCGGAUUUACUGGGCGUAAAGGGCGCGCAGGCGGCUAUCCAAGUCAGGCGUGAAAGCCCCGGGCUUAACCUGGGAGGUGCGUCUGGGACUGGGUGGCUAGAGUUCGGGAGAGGAGAGUGGAAUUCCCAGUGUAGAGGUGAAAUUCGUAGAUAUUGGGAAGAACACCGGUGGCGAAGGCGGCUCUCUGGACCGAGACUGACGCUGAGGCGCGAAAGCGUGGGGAGCAAACAGG
rnacentral:rRNA from 1 species